UCAUGAACUGGAUGUGGAGGAGAACCCUCAGAUGUCUGUAGAGGAAGCCUGGGAUAAACUGGGAUUAAAGCGCAGCCACGACCCCAUGUUUGAGAGUGUGCUGAAGUUUAAGCCCCAGUCACCACCAGGGUGGGAAGGUUGGGAGGAAUAGGAAGCUACAUGGAGGUAGGAGAGCAUCCGGCCACAUCAACAAGCACACCUUCUUUACUGAAGAGGGAGAUGCCACAGAGCCCAAGCUGAGCAAGACCUUUCAAAAAGUUCAGAGAUUCCUCCAGAAAGUUCAGAAAGAUAAUGACACAGCUGUCCCAGACACACCGGUUGACCAGGCAAACGGAGGGAGCCCUGCUUGUCCAUUUGCAGAGGGAAAAGAAGAAAGACUGGAGGAAGAGGAGCAGGAAGAUGGGAGGGGGGAAUACCCCUCUGGAGUUGGAUAGUACUGAGCAACCCUCUCAUCAGAACCUCUUCACCAGAAUAGAAGAUGAGGAGGAAGAGGAUGAUGAGAUUAAAUUCAGAAGAGAGGUGUACUCACUGGACAUACCAGACUACUUAGUUCCCGGAGCACCUGAACACAAUAACACAGAGGCCACUGGGAAGAAAAACAAGAACAAGAAUACCAAGAAAAGAGGGAAAUGUGGAGUGAUGCCAGCUGAGAUUGCAGUGCUGGCUAAGUACUGGGCCCGAGCUGGCUAA
rnacentral:lncRNA from 8 species